rnacentral:rRNA from 1 species
CCGGAGCUUGCUCCACCGGAAAAAGAGGAGUGGCGAACGGGUGAGUAACACGUGGGUAACCUGCCCAUCAGAAGGGGAUAACACUUGGAAACAGGUGCUAAUACCGUAUAACAAUCGAAACCGCAUGGUUUUGAUUUGAAAGGCGCUUUCGGGUGUCGCUGAUGGAUGGACCCGCGGUGCAUUAGCUAGUUGGUGAGGUAACGGCUCACCAAGGCCACGAUGCAUAGCCGACCUGAGAGGGUGAUCGGCCACAUUGGGACUGAGACACGGCCCAAACUCCUACGGGAGGCAGCAGUAGGGAAUCUUCGGCAAUGGACGAAAGUCUGACCGAGCAACGCCGCGUGAGUGAAGAAGGUUUUCGGAUCGUAAAACUCUGUUGUUAGAGAAGAACAAGGAUGAGAGUAACUGUUCAUCCCUUGACGGUAUCUAACCAGAAAGCCACGGCUAACUACGUGCCAGCAGCCGCGGUAAUACGUAGGUGGCAAGCGUUGUCCGGAUUUAUUGGGCGUAAAGCGAGCGCAGGCGGUUUCUUAAGUCUGAUGUGAAAGCCCCCGGCUCAACCGG